rnacentral:rRNA from 1 species
GUGGGGAAUCUUGCGCAAUGGGCGAAAGCCUGACGCAGCCAUGCCGCGUGGAUGAUGAAGGUCUUAGGAUUGUAAAAUCCUUUCACCGGUGAAGAUAAUGACUGUAGCCGGAGAAGAAGCCCCGGCUAACUUCGUGCCAGCAGCCGCGGUAAUACGAAGGGGGCUAGCGUUGCUCGGAUUUACUGGGCGUAAAGGGCGCGUAGGCGGACAUUUAAGUCAGGGGUGAAAUCCCGGGGCUCAACCUCGGAACUGCCUUUGAUACUGGAUGUCUUGAGUGUGAGAGAGGUGUGUGGAACUCCGAGUGUAGAGGUGAAAUUCGUAGAUAUUCGGAAGAACACCAGUGGCGAAGGCGACACACUGGCUCAUUACUGACGCUGAGGCGCGAAAGCGUGGGGAGCAAACAGGAUUAGAUACCCUAGUAGUCC